UCGAGAUAUUCAUUGUCAAAUAUCAAUGCUGAUCAACGGGAAACAAAAAAAGAGGUUGCAUGCAGUCCUUCGCACGUAAGAAGUGAAACUUCAUGAUGGAAAAUUUUAGACAUGAAAGUGUUGAAAUUAAUGUUAUUAUAACGCAACAUUUUUGGGAAAUACAAUUUUUAUAUUGUUUUCGACAACAAUUGUUUCAAUUUAAUUCUCAUUUUCAGCGGGCGCUGUAUUCAUAUUAAUAAUAUAUAUACAAUGGUCCCCCCUUAUGUCGUUGGAUUAUUCCUACUAUUCUUCUAUUUCUAAAGAAGAUUUAUCUUUGAUGAAUUGGAGUAAUGGCGCAGCUUCUGGCACUGAAAAAUUUCCAUCAAAAUCACUCGGAAAAAUUACCGGCUGUUCUCAAUACUCUACGCGUUCUCCAAUAACAUCGUCCAGAGCUUAUGAACUUAAAUUCGAUAAUUUCAAUAAAGAUUUUCCGAUGAAUAUUUUGAUAUCCCUCAUUGAAGCAUUUGGAGAUAAAUAAAGAGCUAUUAGAAUUCAUUUCUUACUAUUGUUAUCUACUGCACAUAAAUCCCCAAUUCUUGCGGAUGUUGAUACCGUGACAUCAGUCUCACUUGAAUGGCAACACCUGAUUUUCGAAUUUUAUUACGUUGAAAUCCCACAACAAACUAAAAAUUUGGUACUAAACAGAAGGUUCUUCAUCGCUCGUAAACGUUUCUGAACUUUGAAAGUUAUAUAAUAUUAUCGAAAUGUGUUUUUUCGAGUUUAUAAAGUCGAAUACUAAUGCCCAAAUUGGAUUUCUUAAAA